UGUAUGUGUCAGAGAUCUAAUUCAGAUGCUCUUUACAAACUGAAGAGUUAAAAACUAGUUUAAAGUUUAAAUAGGAAAAGCAAUGACCUAGAACAGUGGUUCUCAAACUGGGGGCCGGGGCCCCCAGGGGGGCCGCGAGAUGGUGCCAGGGGGGCCCCAGCUUUAUAACAUUUUAUAAAAUAAAUUAAUUUAUCAUAAAUUCUGUGGAAUUAAACCUAAAAAAUAAGGCUACUAACCAACAGCAGUACUUUGUAUCAUUCAAUAUGUUUUGUUUAAUUAAAAGUUGAGUUUUAGAACAGUUUUUUGUCAUAAAUUUUCUUUGGGGGGGGCCGCAAAGGAAUGCGCCGUACACAAAGGGGGCCGCACGCUGAAAAAGUUUGAGAACCACUGACCUAGAAGUUUUACUGUGGAUUUCCAGUUUCAGCAUCCAAGUAGCCUUUAGCCGCCAUUAGCUUACCUGUACAGCCAACCCAAAGGUUGUACCACCUGGCCAGUGCUCCCCACGGUUAUCCACUUUUCUGUUUCUCUUUAGCUUAUCUUAUUGUGCCAGGUCUCCUCCGUGGUUAGGCCCUGGGCAGAAGUGUGUUCUCCAGCAGGGCCCAUGCUAAUUUAUUAGCCCAUAAAAGCCUGAGCAGCCUCCAGUAAGGGCUUUGAUAUAUUCAUCACAAUGUGCUGGCUCGUAAAAAUACUCAACCCCCCGAGAGAUUUCAGCACUUUGUUUACAAGGACCUGUUGCAGGAGGAGGGAAUAAGAGACGGAUGGAAAAGAGAAGAGGAAGGCUGGAGAACAGGUGUUCCUGGAGCAGGAAAUAAACAGAGGCUUGUUGCGACGGCGUUAUCACUCCUCGCCUGCUUGGAGCGGAACCAAGAGCUACAGAGUUGCCCAGUGGCGGGUGAGGGAGGGGUUCCCAUCAGACGGGCUAGAGAUGUUUUCUCAGUGGGAUGGUUUGGCAACGCAGGCGAUCCCCAGUGAGCGAGAAAGAAAAAUGAUGGGCAACAAAGAGAGGAAUGAGAUCUCAUUUGGCCAGAGACUCACACACACCCACCCACAAACACAGAAGAGCGAAGACCCAGUUGGCUUAAGUUUCUGAUCGUGCACUACAGUGUGGGAAAGCUCAUCUUCAUAUGGUUAUCAGUGAAAAAUUAAACGGCACACACUUGCGGUUUUUGUCUGAAAACUUAGAUACAAAUCAACCUACUCGUGUAUAAACAUGCAUGUCUAAGAAUACAUAUACAGUACAUAUAUAUGUCUAGUUGUUAUAACCUUUAAUAGACAAACUUGUGCACUUUACUUAGACUUUUAAAGUUUAUUGAAUGCUGCUUAUAUAGCAAAUAGUGAUACAGUUACUGUUACUAAGCCUUUUCUUACAAGGCUCCAAGAGAGAUUUCCUCGUUGUCGUAUUUGGCUUUGAGCUUUGGGCGUUCGGGCUUGGAGCCCCGCGAAACUGUCUAAGACAAUGAUUUUGAUCAAAAAGUUCUGAUUUGAAUUUAAACAGAUGAACCAGAAAACUCCAGCUAAAGAAGUACUUGGCAUCUUCUGGUGAAACCUAAUGAGAAGAAACUGAACAUGUUACUGAUCCUGUUUUCAGUGUCACAACUGAACCUUUAAUGGCGCUGUAAUCUUGUUAAAUUUUUCCUUUUCUCAUUAUCAUCAUCUCCACUGACUAUUCUGUGGACAUUUUGCCACAAGAGAAAGUUCAGUCAUGGCCCGUGUCCACGAGAGGCCAGGAAAUAUGAUUUUCAGAGGAUUUAAGCAUUUAGAUUGCCAUAUUAAUCAGACUCAUUUGCGAGAUUAGCGAAAUCCCUCAGAGGAACAAAUGACCGACCUCAGCCGAAUCCAAACUCUCUCAUUGUUUUCUCUCCGACAACGGGGAGGAAGCUUGCGACCUCUGCUCCUCUUUCUCCAUCUUUUUCUCUAUCUGUCUCUCUAUCACUGACAUCACAGUGGAAGCCUUUGACUUCCUGUUCCCUGGGCGCCUUCAACUUCUGGAAAUCUUACGCUGAACUUUUGAUGUCUUCCGCAGUUUUGGCAUAACUGAAGGGUGUAGGUGAUUGAGCAACCUCAUCUUUGGUCACAAGAGACACAGACAUCAUGAGGCAUAAGCUGUUUUUGUUGAUAGGAUCAUGGAAAAUGUGAAUACGUACCGUUUCAGAUGGAGCUCUAAUCAGAAGUCCCGGAGUCAUCUCAAGCUUAGCCUGCUGUGCGAUACUAAUUUCAUUGCGAUUUGUUUUGAUUUGUUUGGAUUUUUGUUUUGAGAUUUUAUCCGCGAAAACCGUGACAUGUUCUGUAUAUGUGGGAGGGAAAGAAAGAGAAAGAGCGGGGAAAUCCAUAUGGAUGCUAUUUUUGAUUUUUGGGAAAACAUUUCUGCUUUUUACCUUCAUAUGAAGAACCAGAUUAUAACUGAACAGAUAAGAUCACACAGUAAUCCCAAUCUGGCAAGAGUAGCAAACAAAAGAAAGAGAGACGUAAAGAAAGAAGGAGCAUGCGAGAGAAGCAUGGAAGAAAAUAGAAAACAAGGCUAAAAGGAGAGAGAGAGAGAAAGUUUAAAGAAAAAAUGACACACUGAAAAGAUGUAAUGUUGUAGGUAUGCUUGUCAUCAUGUCAGCUCUUCUAAUGUUAGUAUGGAUAUGAGGACCUCUGGUGGAAUAAAUACGAAAUUUAUCACACCUUUGAUUUGACACAGUGCUGUCCAAACAUGUCUGAGAAAACUACCG